ensembl:lncRNA novel transcript
CAGUGGGAGAGUGGCCCUGAGCAGAGAGGAGCGUAAGGGGCAAGGCACACCCCUUGAGAGUGAGAAAGGGCAAAAGUAGCCGGUCUCACAGAGCAGACAUGUGCUUCCCGUCCUGACCUGCAACGUGCUGCCUCCUUACAAGUGCUACCAGAUCACCUGGUUCAUAUCCCGGAGCCCCAGCCCGGACCAUGUGGUAAAAGUGGCCGAGUACAACAAAGUGAAGCUGAGCAUCUUCAUUGCCCGCCUCUAUCACGACUGUGACCCGGGAUUCCAGCACGGGCUUCGCAGACUGCAGGACACAGAGGCACGCGUGCACAUCAUGUCUUCUAAGGAAUUUGAACACUGUUGAGAAGACUGUGUACAAGAGAGAUGUGCCAUGUCAGCCUUGCAAGGGACAGCGUGAAAACUACCCAUCUCCGGUCACCAAGUUGCAGGAGGCCAGGAGCCAGGAGGGGAAACCACUCAGUUUGCAAAACGUCGCUUCCACAAGCCUGAUGGCUGAAACUGCUCACUGUACCCUGAAACCAGCUUUACCUACAGCUUCUGAGAUAAACUGCUGCAACUCUGGGACCCACGAUGCCUAUCACAGUGGCUCAUCAAUGGAACCUGCCGGCUCCCAACCCUUCCUAGGGCCCAUGAACUCUCUGAAAAGAGGAACAGAAAUAUUUCUCCUUUUUGUAAAAUCUUUAACCUUCCCUUUGUUCUUCAUGUACACGCUGAACUGCAAUUCUUCUUCCCAAAUAAAACAUUAAAUUUAGAAAUUUC